CACGCAGGCGGUCGUGUAAGUUUGGGGUUACAGCUCCCGGCUCAACUGGGAGAGCGCCUUGAAGACUGCAGGACUUGAGGGCCAGAGAGGGACACAGAAUUCCGGGUGUAGUGGUGAAAUGCGUAGAUAUCCGGAGGAAUACCAAAGGCGAAGGCAGUGUCCUGGCUGGUGACUGACGCUGAGGUGCGAAAGCUAGGGGAGCGAACGGGAUUAGAUACCCCGGUAGUCCUAGCUGUAAACGAUGACCACUAGGUGUGGGAGGUAUCGACCCCUUCCGUGCCGCAGUUAACACAGUAAGUGGUCCGCCUGGGGAGUACGGUCGCAAGAUUAAA
rnacentral:rRNA from 1 species